rnacentral:rRNA from 1 species
UACGUAGGGGGCCAGCGUUGUCCGGAAUCAUUGGGCGUAAAGAGCGUGUAGGCGGCCCGGUAAGUCCGCUGUAAAAGUCAAAGGCUCAACCUUUGAAUGUCAGUGGAUACUGCCGGGCUAGAGUCCGGAAGAGGCGAGUGGAACUCCUGGUGUAGCGGUGGAAUGCGCAGAUAUCAGGAAGAACACCAACGGCGAAGGCAGCUCGCUGGGACGGUACUGACGCUGAGGCGCGACAGCGUGGGGAGCAAACAGG